AGCAGCCGCGGUAAUUCCAGCUCCAAUAGCGUAUAUUAAAGUUGUUGCAGUUAAAAAGCUCGUAGUUGAAUUUCGGGAUCAGUACGCUGGUCGUGCCUUUGGUAUGUACUGGUGUCACUGAUUCCUCCCUUCUGAAGAACCGUUAUGCCAUUUAUUUGGUGUGGCGGGGAAUCAGGACUGUUACUUUGAAAAAAUUAGAGUGUUUAAAGCAGGCUCGCGCUUGAAUACAUUAGCAUGGAAUAAUGAAAUAGGACGUUUGAUCUUAUUUUGUUGGUUUCUAGGAUCGACGUAAUGAUUAAUAGGGAUAGUUGGGGGCAUUAGUAUUCAAUUGUCAGAGGUGAAAUUCUUGGAUUUAUUGAAGACUAACUACUGCGAAAGCAUUUGCCAAGGAUGUUUUCAUUAAUCAAGAACGAAAGUUAGGGGAUCGAAGACGAUCAGAUACCGUCGUAGUCUUAACCAUAAACUAUGCCGACUAGGGAUCGGAUGAUGUUAAUUUUUUAAUGACUCAUUCGGCGCCUUA
rnacentral:rRNA from 1 species